rnacentral:rRNA from 1 species
UAGGGAAUCUUCGGCAAUGGGGGGCAACCCUGACCGAGCAACGCCGCGUGAGUGAAGAAGGUUUUCGGAUCGUAAAGCUCUGUUGUAAGAGAGGAACGUGUGUGAGAGUGGAAAGUUCACACAGUGACGGUAACUUACCAGAAAGGGACGGCUAACUACGUGCCAG